GGCAGAGAACCACCUUCGCGUCUUCUCAGAGAGGUGGGAGCUGUCGCCUAAGCGGUCCUUAACUACGCCGAAGCCAGAGCAAGACCCGGAGGUACAAGCCUCGCCUCGGCGCUGGGCCGACACCCGGCAGGCUCGGCUCUACAGAGCUCGAGCCCCAGCUGCCACCCCCGCCAGCAGCCGCUGCCGCCGCCUCGACCAAACCAUCCUUCAGACACCCGCGCCGCCGCCUCACAACAUGUCGGCCGCUACUGCCGCUUAAACUGCGGCAGCCGCUUGGGAACGAAUAUGAACCGUGCACAAGGGAAGUUUCUAUAGCCGUGGUCGUUCAGCCGGAAGGCAGGUCGUGGAAUCCAAAGCAGUGGCAACGGUGGUCCCUCCAGAGGCCGGGGAAGAAGGUUUGCUGGAAAUUGCUCCCGACACCCUUUGCGCCACCGGAAGUCUCCCUCCCUAGGCCCCAGCCUCCUUCCGAGACUCACUUCCGGUGAAACGUUCAAAGAAGUGACUUGCCCAGACACUACAAAUGGCUAAGUCAGAAGCUAAAAGUCAGAACGGAGUCAGUGGAAUGCGUUGCAUACAACGUGCCUAUUACAAGGUUCCAGCUCACUGGUAAUACCAACGAGUGUCCGUUUCUUCACAGAAAUUGCAUUAUUUUUGAAAACCAAGAUUUUUUUGUACUGUCAUGUGGAAGAAGGGACUAUGUUAUAAAUGGUGGGAUUUUGGAAUUUCUAAAAAUAAACCUUAAACCAUUUAAAUCCU